rnacentral:lncRNA from 1 species
AGAGAUAUCAUGGACUGAAAGGUGAUGGGUGCCCCAAUGAGCUCACUACAAGAUCUCAAAGAUUCCAAGCCACUGGCUGCUCCAAAGCAUAAAGCCACCCUUCCGGAGAGUCGGCAGGAAGGAAGCCUGGCGGAGGUGAGGAAACAUCACUCUUCCCUCUGCCCUUGACUCCAUCGGCCUUUAGCUGUCAGAUGGUCGGGCCCAGGCCUGAGGGGCUUUUUCCCGUGUGUCCUUCCACAGGCUCUGCUUUUGGCCAGAGGACAGACCACCUCCUCAGGUCUCUGGGGGAACUGCUGAAGGACAGUGAGGAAGAUGUUGCUGGUCCCCAGGACAGAAACAUAGCGGCUGGAGCCAGGAAGCACCUGGAGUGGGACUCAAGCCCAGCACCCCUUCAGACCGAUGCUCUCUGAGCGGCGUGUGGUCCCGGAUCGGACUGUUUUGGCUUUGCCAUCACGUGCAUAACACAGUUCUAGAUGCUUUUAAAUGGUU